rnacentral:rRNA from 1 species
ACACGACUACAUUAGAUACCCCGGUAGUCCUAGCCGUAAACGAUACUCGCUAGGUGUCGGCCACGGUGCGACCGUUGUCGGUGCCGUAGGGAAGCCGUGAAGCGAGCCACCUGGGAAGUACGGCCGCAAGGCUGAAACUUAAAGGAAUUGGCGGGGGAGCACCACAACGGGUGGAGCUUGCGGUUUAAUUGGAUUCAACGCCGGACAACUCACCAGGAGCGACGGUUACAUGAAGGCCAGGCUGAUGACCUUGCCUGAUUUUCCG